GAUGAAGAACGUAGCGAAAUGCGAUAAGUAGUGUGAAUUGCAGAAUUCAGUGAAUCAUCGAAUCUUUGAACGCACAUUGCGCCCCCUGGCAUUCCGGGGGGCAUGCCUGUCCGAGCGUCAUUGCUGCCCUUCAAGCCCGGCUUGUGUGUUGGGUCGUCGUCCCCCCCGGGGGACGGGCCCGAAAGGCAGCGGCGGCACCGCGUCCGGUCCUCGAGCGUAUGGGGCUUUGUCACCCGCUCGAUUAGGGCCGGCCGGGCGCCAGCCGGCGUCUCCAACCUUUUAUUUUACCAGGUUGACCUCGGAUCAGGUAGGGAUACCCGCUGAACUUAAGCAUAUCAAUAAGCGGAGGA
rnacentral:misc_RNA from 1 species